CAGCAGCCACGGGAAUACAGAGGGUGCAAGCGUUAAUCGGAAUUACUGGGCGUAAAGCGCGCGUAGGUGGUUAGUUAAGUUGGAUGUGAAAUCCCCGGGCUCAACCUGGGAACUGCAUUCAAAACUGACUGACUAGAGUAUGGUAGAGGGUGGUGGAAUUUCCUGUGUAGCGGUGAAAUGCGUAGAUAUAGGAAGGAACACCAGUGGCGAAGGCGACCACCUGGACUGAUACUGACACUGAGGUGCGAAAGCGUGGGGAGCAAACAGGAUUAGAUACCCCAGUAGUCCCUGUCUCUUAUAC
rnacentral:rRNA from 1 species